rnacentral:rRNA from 1 species
GAUUAAGUUAUUAAGGGCGCACGGUGGAUGCCUUGGCACUAGAAGCCGAUGAAGGACGUUACUAACGACGAUAUGCUUUGGGGAGCUGUAAGUAAGCUUUGAUCCAGAGAUUUCCGAAUGGGGAAACCCAGCAUGAGUUAUGUCAUGUUAUCGAUAUGUGAAUACAUAGCAUAUCAGAAGGCACACCCGGAGAACUGAAACAUCUUAGUACCCGGAGGAAGAGAAAGAAAAUUCGAUUCCCUUAGUAGCGGCGAGCGAAACGGGAAGAGCCCAAACCAACAAGCUUGCUUGUUGGGGUUGUAGGACACUCUAUACGGAGUUACAAAGGACGACAUUAGACGAAUCAUCUGGAAAGAUGAAUCAAAGAAGGUAAUAAUCCUGUAGUCGAAAAUGUUGUCUCUCUUGAGUGGAUCCUGAGUACGACGGAGCACGUGAAAUUCCGUCGGAAUCUGGGAGGACCAUCUCCUAAGGCUAAAUACUCUCUAGUGACCGAUAGUGAACCAGUACCGUGAGGGAAAGGUGAAAAGCACCCCGGAAGGGGAGUGAAAUAGAACCUGAAACCGUGUGCUUACAAGUAGUCAGAGCCCGUUAAUGGGUGAUGGCGUGCCUUUUGUAGAAUGAACCGGCGAGUUACGAUUUGAUGCAAGGUUAAGCAGUAAAUGUGGAGCCGUAGCGAAAGCGAGUCUGAAUAGGGCGUUUAGUAUUUGGUCGUAGACCCGAAACCAGGUGAUCUACCCUUGGUCAGGUUGAAGUUCAGGUAACACUGAAUGGAGGACCGAACCGACUUACGUUGAAAAGUGAGCGGAUGAACUGAGGGUAGCGGAGAAAUUCCAAUCGAACCUGGAGAUAGCUGGUUCUCUCCGAAAUAGCUUUAGGGUUAGCCUCAAGUGAUGAUUAUUGGAGGUAGAGCACUGUUUGGACGAGGGGCCCCUCUCGGGUUACCGAAUUCAGACAAACUCCGAAUGCCAAUUAAUUUAACUUGGGAGUCAGAACAUGGGUGAUAAGGUCCGUGUUCGAAAGGGAAACAGCCCAGACCACCAGCUAAGGUCCCAAAAUAUAUGUUAAGUGGAAAAGGAUGUGGCGUUGCCCAGACAACUAGGAUGUUGGCUUAGAAGCAGCCAUCAUUUAAAGAGUGCGUAAUAGCUCACUAGUCGAGUGACACUGCGCCGAAAAUGUACCGGGGCUAAACAUAUUACCGAAGCUGUGGAUUGUCCUUUGGACAAUGGUAGGAGAGCGUUCUAAGGGCGUUGAAGCAUGAUCGUAAGGACAUGUGGAGCGCUUAGAAGUGAGAAUGCCGGUGUGAGUAGCGAAAGACGGGUGAGAAUCCCGUCCACCGAUUGACUAAGGUUUCCAGAGGAAGGCUCGUCCGCUCUGGGUUAGUCGGGUCCUAAGCUGAGGCCGACAGGCGUAGGCGAUGGAUAACAGGUUGAUAUUCCUGUACCACCUAUAAUCGUUUUAAUCGAUGGGGGGACGCAGUAGGAUAGGCGAAGCGUGCGAUUGGAUUGCACGUCUAAGCAGUAAGGCUGAGUAUUAGGCAAAUCCGGUACUCAUUAAGGCUGAGCUGUGAUGGGGAGAAGACAUUGUGUCUUCGAGUCGUUGAUUUCACACUGCCGAGAAAAGCCUCUAGAUAGAAAAUAGGUGCCCGUACCGCAAACCGACACAGGUAGUCAAGAUGAGAAUUCUAAGGUGAGCGAGCGAACUCUCGUUAAGGAACUCGGCAAAAUGACCCCGUAACUUCGGGAGAAGGGGUGCUCUUUAGGGUUAACGCCCAGAAGAGCCGCAGUGAAUAGGCCCAAGCGACUGUUUAUCAAAAACACAGGUCUCUGCUAAACCGUAAGGUGAUGUAUAGGGGCUGACGCCUGCCCGGUGCUGGAAGGUUAAGAGGAGUGGUUAGCUUCUGCGAAGCUACGAAUCGAAGCCCCAGUAAACGGCGGCCGUAACUAUAACGGUCCUAAGGUAGCGAAAUUCCUUGUCGGGUAAGUUCCGACCCGCACGAAAGGCGUAACGAUUUGGGCACUGUCUCAACGAGAGACUCGGUGAAAUCAUAGUACCUGUGAAGAUGCAGGUUACCCGCGACAGGACGGAAAGACCCCGUGGAGCUUUACUGUAGCCUGAUAUUGAAAUUCGGCACAGCUUGUACAGGAUAGGUAGGAGCCUUUGAAACGUGAGCGCUAGCUUACGUGGAGGCGCUGGUGGGAUACUACCCUAGCUGUGUUGGCUUUCUAACCCGCACCACUUAUCGUGGUGGGAGACAGUGUCAGGCGGGCAGUUUGACUGGGGCGGUCGCCUCCUAAAAGGUAACGGAGGCGCUCAAAGGUUCCCUCAGAAUGGUUGGAAAUCAUUCAUAGAGUGUAAAGGCAUAAGGGAGCUUGACUGCGAGACCUACAAGUCGAGCAGGGUCGAAAGACGGACUUAGUGAUCCGGUGGUUCCGCAUGGAAGGGCCAUCGCUCAACGGAUAAAAGCUACCCCGGGGAUAACAGGCUUAUCUCCCCCAAGAGUUCACAUCGACGGGGAGGUUUGGCACCUCGAUGUCGGCUCAUCGCAUCCUGGGGCUGUAGUCGGUCCCAAGGGUUGGGCUGUUCGCCCAUUAAAGCGGUACGCGAGCUGGGUUCAGAACGUCGUGAGACAGUUCGGUCCCUAUCCGUCGUGGGCGUAGGAAAUUUGAGAGGAGCUGUCCUUAGUACGAGAGGACCGGGAUGGACAUACCUCUGGUGUACCAGUUGUCGUGCCAACGGCAUAGCUGGGUAGCUAUGUGUGGACGGGAUAAGUGCUGAAAGCAUCUAAGCAUGAAGCCCCCCUCAAGAUGAGAUUUCCCAACUUCGGUUAUAAGAUCCCUCAAAGAUGAUGAGGUUAAUAGGUUCGAGGUGGAAGCAUGGUGACAUGUGGAGCUGACGAAUACUAAUCGAUCGAAGACUUAAUCAA